GUGGACUGACAGCUCUGUUAUGGCCAUCUGUUCUAAAGCUUCAUCUGGGUGUGUUUCCCCAGAAGAUGAUGGACUUUCUGUUAUCAAAGAGAAACGUUAUGUCCUUGUUUUUUAGAUGUCUGUAGAUGUAGCCCUUGAAUAUCUUUGGCUCUGCUCCCUAAAGAGAAAAAAGGAUAGGCUGAUUGCUGUAAAGCUGGUGAGGGAGUCAGAGACUUUCCCAACUGAAAAGGCAGCUUUAAGGCAGUAACCAUUCAGUUAGGAACCACCAAAGAAAAUCCUUGAGACAACAGGAAGAUCAUGUAAACUCCACACAGAUGUGACUAAGCUGGACAGAGGGCCCUAAUCCCAAUGGCUGGGACAAUGAAGCACUAACCACCGCACCACAUGUGUAUAGAUCUAUGUGCAUUUGCAAUAUAUAUGUGCAUCGAUUUUAUUGUCUGUUUAUUGCACUGCUGCUGUUAUACACUGUAACGUGAAACACUAUGAGCCUGUCCUCCGAGAAUAUCGCUGGAAAAAUAAAUAGUGGCAAAUA